GCGAUCAUACCAGGACUAAUGCACCAGAUCCCAUCAGAACUCCGCAGU
rnacentral:rRNA from 1 species